GACGAACGCUGGCGGCGUGGAUUAGGCAUGCAAGUCGAACGGUAUCAUCCUUUCGGGGGUGAGAGAGUGGCGAACUGGUGAGUAACACGUAGGUUAUCUACCCUCAAGACGGGGACAACCCAGGGAAACUUGGGCUAAUACCGGAUGUGAGCAACUUUUAGUUGUUUGAAAGGUGGCGUAAGCUGUCGCUUGGGGAUGAGCCUGCGUCCUAUUAGUUAGUUGGUGAGGUAACGGCUCACCUAGGCAAUGAUAGGUAGGCGGCCUUAACGGGUGGUCGCCCACACUGGGAUUGAGAUACGGCCCAGACUCCUACGGGAGGCAGCAGUCGAGAAUAGUCUACAAUGGUCGGAAGACUGAUAGUGCGACGCCGCGUGAACGAUGAAUCCCUUCGGGGUGUAAAGUUCUUUUAUAUGUGAGCAGUGCUUCUUAUAUUAACAGUAUGGGGAGAGAGAUAUUAGCAUAUGAAUAAGCACCGGCUAACUACGUGCCAGCAGCCGCGGUAAA
rnacentral:rRNA from 1 species